CUUUUGCCUGGGCCUCACAUAUUUUGGGUAUCGUAACAAAUUGCUGGGCCCCACCACUGGGAGAUGGGAGGCUUGUGCAUGGAUCCUGCCUAUGUGGGGACCUUUUGAUACUUAUCUGCAUCUAUCACUUAGAAGAUAUGACUUUCCUACCUGCACCCUGCCCACAAGGAAGAUUGGGAACUAUCACUAGGCCAUGCGUCCAGGUUAUGUAACUCGGCUGCCCGUGUUCUGCUUUCAGGAGGGAAUUGUCACAAUCUCUUCUACAGGCAAUGCCCAGGGCCAAGGCAGAAAACUUACAUCACCUUUGUGUUCGGCCCAGCAAUACAUCAAAAUCGCUCCUGUGGACACAACCUUGAAAAAAGAGAAGAGUCACAUCAGCUAGGUGCUAGGCCUAGUGAUAUGUCACAAUCCCCACUGUGAACAGGGAUAAGAACCAAGGCAGAGAUUAAUAGUCACAUCGCAUAGUUGAUGGAUGAAGAAACGUGUCACAAGACCCCCUGUGGUCAGGACUCAGGCAGGAGCCUCCCAUCCUUUAGGUGUUUUGCCCAGUAAUAUGUCACAAUACAUAAAAUAUACUAAACUGAGGCAAAAGACCAGGGUCACAUCACCUAGGUGCUGGGUCCAAUGAUAUGUCACAAUCUCCAAUUUUGGGAGAGCAAGGGCAGAGUUUUCAUAUCACCUAGGUGAUGAAUGAAAAGACACAUAAUACCCCUGCGAGCAGGGUGUUGGACCUAGUGGUAUGUCACGAUAACCAAC
rnacentral:lncRNA from 1 species